rnacentral:misc_RNA from 1 species
UUAUAUAAAAUCGAUGUGUCGCUUGUUUGUGACAUGUUGGAGUUGGGUGAUCUUGAUCCCUCUGGGUUCAAGAGACCUGAAAUUGAUGUUCUCGCGCAUCUUUAGACGUGUAAGUCUUACCUCGUCUUUUAUGGAUGUCGUGCUUACCAUUUACUGGGUGUGGUCACGUUGUUGAGCUCACGCCCAUAAGAUUUCGAG